CAUAACCAUUGAAUUUGUUUUUUGUUUUCUCAAUUAAAUAUAAAUUGUCAUCAAAUUAAUGCUAUUUUUAUGUUUUUUUUGUUUUUCUGAUUUAAUUAAAGAGUGAAAUGUGAAACUACUGAUAUAGUUGAGUCCAAUUAAUUAGUGAAAUGCUGUUUAUUUAUGAGCAAUCCUUCAAACUGUGUCAAAACUGGUGAACCAAAAGUGUGUAACCCUAAAGGAAUGAACACUCAGAGAAGACCGCUAUUCAAUUAGAGUCUAUUUUGAUCGCUGUGAUACAUUGUUACAUUAUUGUUGGCCCACCAUACCAAAACUAGAUUUAUUGGUCCACCGGGAGAAUAAAAAAUUGACAAAUUAUGGAUAAACUCGUAAGCCUACUGAAAGUUCAAGGCUUAAUCCUAAUGGUAAAUUAGUUUACAAAAUUGGAUUCAUAAAAAAUUCAUACAUUUUAGGAAAAACUAUUCGUUAUGGAAUUCGUUAUACUGGACUUCAAAACAUUUAAUGGACUAAGUUAAUUUUGCCGAGAAAACAUGAGAUCAAAUUUCAUGACAUUCACCCACAAAAAUUGUCAUUAUUACAUCCAUCAUCUUCCAUGAGUUUCGGAAAUCUAUGGAAAUUCUUGAUUCAAUGGAUGAACGGAUAUCAAAAAAGCUCACCAAGACAAGAGGAGCAUCUAAAAAAAUGAUACCACAAGCCACACAUCAUUGCCCUUUCAAGUUUAUUUUUUUCAAAGCCAUCUCCAGAAGCUGAAGCUGAAACCAAGCUAUGCAGAGACCAAUCUUGUUUGAAAUCUGACUUCAUAAUUACCAGUGUCUGAAUGGUAACAACAAUUUUCAUGUCAGUUUUAGUCAAUCAGUUCUAAUGGUCACUCUGCUCAAAUACUCACCCUUUCAUUUUGAGCUGGAAAGGAGGAAAAGCAACUCGAAUCAUACACAUUGUAUUUACCAUUUCUUGAGAAAAAAAAGUUAAUUCAAGGUAUCCAUUACUUUUGGUUCCAAGGAAAAGCAAUCAACAACAAUGUGUCUAAGACUACCAUGGGGCUGUUAACGAUCCCAUUGCUUUCGUAAUUGUGUUCAUGGUGAAAAUGAGUAACCUUGUAAGCUAGUUUCAACGAAUAAGCUUCUGGUUUCAACACAAAAAAAGUUCUUAUGUUAUUGGGAUCAAGAAAGGAAAGAUGGGAUUCUACUUGAAUUGAAGCAAACACUUUUUUUGGAAUAAUGUUGAUUGUUGCCUCUUUCACUUGAUGUUUCCUUACCAUUUCCAACUAAAGAAGUCACGUUGACAAAAGCAAGAGGAAAGUAAACAAAGCAAAUGGAUGUAAAAAAAGAUGAAACAAUAAGAUGAUUCAAAUUAAAUUGAAUUUUACACUAUUAAAUUUGAGGCCCAUUUAGUUCA